rnacentral:rRNA from 1 species
AUUGAACGCUGGCGGCAGGCUUAACACAUGCAAGUCGAGCGAGCGGCGGACGGAUGAGUAAUGUCUGGGAAACUGCCUGAUGGAGGGGGAUAACUACUGGAAACGGUAGCUAAUACCGCAUACCAUCAGAUGGGCCCAGGUGGGAUUCGCUAGUAGGUUGGGUAAGGGCUCACUUAGGCUACGAUCGCUAGCUGGUCUGAGAGGAUGAGCAGCCACACUGGGACUGAGACACGGCCCAGACUCCUACGGUAGGCAGCAGAGGGGAAUAUUGCACAUUGGGCGCAAUCCGGGUGCAGCCAUGCCGCGUGUAUGAAGAAGGCGUUAGGGUUUUAAAGUUCUUUCGGUAGCGAGGCGUUAACUACAGAAGAAGCACCGGCUAACUCCGUGCCAGCAGCCGCGGUAAUAC